AAGAAUAUAGUAUAAUUAAAAUACAUUUCAUUUACACUGAAGAAAUACUUAAUUUUUGAGUUGUUCUUA
rnacentral:tRNA from 1 species